rnacentral:misc_RNA from 1 species
CGCACAUUGCGCCCGGUGGUAUUCCGCCGGGCAUGCCUGUUCGAGCGUCAUUUAAACCAAUCCAGCCUCGUGCUUGGGUCUUGGGCUUUCGCCUCUGGGCGGGCCUCAAAAUCAGUGGCGGUGCCUUCUGGCUCUAAGCGUAGUAAUACUUUUCGCUAUAGAUGUCUGAUGGUAUCUUGCCAACAACCCUUAUUUUUCUAAGGUUGACCUCGGAUCAGGUAGGGAUACCCGCUGAACUUAA